ACUUUAAAUCCCACUGAUUUCUAAAGAACUUCAGUAAAGAGCAGAUAUGAUCAAGCUAUGUGCGUUCUUUACGCGUGCCCGGUUCUAUUUGAUGCGGAACAUCUUUCAGUCAGAUCUGUCUGUUGGCCUGCCAGUAAGCAGCUGUAGUCGUACAGAGUUCGACUUAAGAGCGGACCAUCGUGAAACUGAGCUCCUACUGAGAUUUGAAGCCAAGACACCUUCGAGAUAACAGGUUCUCUGCCACUGCCUGCAGCCAAGUUCAACUAAUUUCUGUCUGAAGUGAGGAUUUGGUAUCUGAGAAUAAUGAAUGACCGUAAUGACGGAAACACGCUAAAUGAAAAUCUGUGUAUUCCAAGUAAAAAAAGAAAAAUUUCUACAACCAGUAUAAAUGAGUCUUUUCAUGUGCACUGAAAACUCCUCUGAAUUUAUGAAUGCUGGUAAGAUUUAAU